CUCCAGAAGAAUGACAUGAAAGUCUGAGGCUGUAAAUAAGAUGAAAGAUGGCUCAUGAUAUACUCUACAUUUUUGUCAGUCAGUAUUGUAGGAGUUAACAAAUCAGUCACACAUAAGAAGAAAAUGAAUCAAAGCAAUCUCAAUGGCGUACACAUCCACUGAAGGCGAGCAAUUGUUGCACGAAUCAUAAUAUUCCUUUCUUUCUUUCCACCCCCCACAAUGAUAUACCAAAUCUCCCUCCAUAAAGGGAUCAAUCUUUUUCCGUUAUAGUAUCACAAUUUCAUGUUCUUAUGAAACACUAUGCCCUAUUUGGUACUUGCUGAGUUCUUUGUGCAAGCUAAAACCUCUUUUACAUUUUGAUUCACUCACAAACCCACUUCAAUGAUUCUGACUUUUUGCCUUUUUCGAUUUGUUUUUCUCCUGCAUCUUCUUUUUCUUUGCUUCAGCUGAAAUCCAUGUAUAAUCAGGAGGAAUAACAAAUGGGUCCUGAAUGUUCUCUAUCCUACUGCUAGAACCACCAGCUGAUGCGCUAGGGCGAUGGUAAGGAGCUUUUAUCCACUGAAACCAGGAUGAACUUGAGGACUGUGUCACUGCUGGGCUUUCUCGUCCAGCAGCUGUAGGACUUGAAGGAGGCGUUGCAAAUUCAUCCAGUGGCUGUAAUUCUUCAAACUUCGUGAAUGUAACCAAUACUCUGAUGGUGGGUACCACUGGAAUAGCAACCUUCACAGGAAAGGUUCCCAUUGGAAGUUUCGUUGUAAGCAGCUCUCUUAAACGACGAAUUGCCUUAACCUUAUUUGCAAGGAUGUCAAGCAAUGGAAGAAGUUCUUCAGUUUGUAAUGGGAAGUUUGGUGAAAGCCAAAGAGUUGGCCUCAAUCCCUUUUUAUAUUCAUUCUCACGGCUUCCUUCCCUGCGACGAUUACUGCUCUCAAUACUCGAAGAAGUAGAUAUCUUGGUAUC
rnacentral:misc_RNA from 1 species